rnacentral:misc_RNA from 1 species
UCGUACAACCGAGGCGUGAGGGCUGUCGCUGACCUUCAAUGGUUGUGCACGCCCGAGCGUUCUCACAAUCCAUCUCACCCUUUUGUGCAUCACCGCGUGGGUCCCCCCCUUUGUGGGAGGGUUCGCGUUUUCACAUAAAACUCGAUACAGUCUAGAAUGUUUAUUUUUGCGGUCACACGCAAUCAAUA